GACGAACGCUGGCGGCGUGCUUAACACAUGCAAGUCGAACGGAAAGGCCCUGCUUGCAGGGUACUCGCGUGGCGAACGGGUGAGUAACACGUGGGUGAUCUGCCCUGCACUUCGGGAUAAGCCUGGGCAACUGGGUCUAAUACCGGACAGGAGCCAUUUUUAGUGUGAUGGUUGGAAAGUUUUUUCGGUGUAGGAUGAGCUCGCGGCCUAUCAGCUUGUUGGUGGGGUAAUGGCCUACCAAGGCGGCGACGGGUAGCCGGCCUGAGAGGGUGGACGGCCACACUGGGACUGAGAUACGGCCCAGACUCCUACGGGAGGCAGCAGUGGGGAAGAUUGCACAAGGGGCGCAAGCCUGAUGCAGCGACGCCGCGUGGGGGAUGACGGCCUUCGGGUUGUAAACUCAUUUCGCUAGGGACGAAGCUUUUUGUGACGGUACCUAGAUAAGAAGCACCGGCUAACUACGUG
rnacentral:rRNA from 1 species